rnacentral:lncRNA from 1 species
CAGUCUCCCAAAGUGUUGGGAUUACAGGUGUGAGCCACCACACCUAGCCGGAAACCUGACUUCUUAGCAAACUGUCUCUCAGAGCAAAAUCACUUUAACCACAGUGAUUAAGACCAGAAUCCAUUGAUUAAAACGUUUUGUGUGUUUACAUGUAUGUAUAUAUGUGUGUGUGUGUGUGUGUGUAUAUAUAUAUAUAUAUAUAUAUAUAUAUAUAUAUAUACACAAAAAAGAUCUCAGAGACCUAAAUACAUUCCCAUUACUUAGCAGAUAUAAACAGCAAUUUCAAUUAUAAUCAGAAAGUUUCUUGGUGAACAUGGAAUCAGAAUAAAGAAAGUUGAGGUGGAAUUUCCUUGGUCCACAUCUCUUCUGCCUAGCUGGUGGUUGAAUGAAAAUACACCAUCAAUUGUGUCUAUUACUCUUUUUGCCAGUCCUUCAAUCAGGUUAUAAUCUAACCCUCUAUCAGCUCAGAAGACCAGGUACCUCUUUUUUCUUUCCUCAAAUCCAUUAGAUAUUGAAUUAUAGCUUAAGAUUUGGAGGGCAAAUAUGUGUUGCUUAUUUCAAAUUCUAUUUAUUGACUCACUCUGCCCACAUCCUAACAAAGACGAUAUAGAAGACCAACAGAGUUUCCUAUUAAUUGUCCUUUCAUUCACAAGAAAGAGACAUUGCUCUGACCAGCAUGCUCUGACUGUCAGGGAACUUAUUAUCAUCUUAAAUAAGAUCAAAUUAUGUUCAAUAAUGAAGACAAGAGUAGGAAGAAGCCACCUUGAAUCCAGUGGAACUGCUGUGCUCUGAAGUAAUGGUAAGGGCACAGGACUUGUCUGUUGUUUACCCAUGAAUGCUGUCCUUAGAAUCUUAGACAGCAGCACCACCUCACCUUAAUGUGUCCUUAGAGACAGCUGAAAGCUUGGUGUAACGACAUACAUCUAAGGAUACCUUUAUAAAUGAUAAGGCAAAUUGGUCCAAACAAAAAUUAAGCCUGACCUCAAAAUAUAUCUUUUAACUAGUUAUUUUUAUAAAAUUCAAAUGCCAUAGAAUGUGCUGUCUGCUUACAUAGACAAAGCUCUUGAUGCAUUUUGAGAUGCCAGUUGUUUGAUGGGUGAAUUGUAAUGAAGCUUCCUUUAAGAUUAUCUGCAGAAGCAGACAAGUGAUCAUUGAAUUUAGUUUGCCAUCCUAUGGCCUAGGCUCCUGUUGUCAUGAAAACCUGAAAUUGAUUGCCAAACACUUGCACAGUAAUUUUGAGAUUCUUAUAAUUUAAAGCUCAAUCAUUUCUUGACUGAAGGAUACUUAUUGAGGAAGCUUCCAUCAUCAACCUCCGUUUAAAAAAUUUCUUACUGUGUGGAUUUUAAUCAGGGCAAUAAAAGGAUCAUCCACAAGCUCCACAUCACUCAGCCAUAUUAAAUUAUGAUGUAAUCUAGUAAAAAAAUCAAUAAGUGAGACCCAGUAAGGAACCUGAGACUGUUCAAGACUAGAAUGCAGGUAGGCACCAUAUGGCCAGAAAUGAAGUGACUACGUAUUAUCUUCAACCAGGGACAUUGGAUUUACUCAGUUUCUUUGGGCUGGGCAAAAAUGACCUUGUAAUGCAUUGAGUUAUAGGCUAGCAGACAUUAGGCACCACACUAUCCCUUCAAGGUACGGUCUUUUUAACAAGUCCUAGGAAGGGCUGUUUGAGUUAAUUCAGAGCCCGCAGAAGGGCUCACAACAACCUCCUUGUUUUGUCCUAACGUGAGCUGAUCCUUCUUGCAUCAGGUGGCUCCUCUGACUGUCCUGCCCUUUGGGUACUGGGCAAUUAAUCCACAAACGCAAAAUCCUGAACCCUGGGCUAAGAAAAUACGAACUGAUUUGGUAAACAAAUGAUAUGUAAAAUCUAUACGCACAGAGUGGCAAGUGACAAAGGAAAUUGCAAAUGCCCCUAAAUGCUCUUUCCCAUCGAUUGGCAGAGAGAAUCUAACACAUACACAGAGGAGAUGGAGCAUAAAAUUGGGCGGACUGACUCAGAGCACUAAAGGGAGAGAAAUGCGCAAUUACUGUGGGAUUCGCCCAGAGGAGCAGCCUCAGGAGUUGAAGGGGAUCCUGUCCCUCCCAGAGGAAAGCUCACGAUUGGAUUGGAACUUCUAGCGACUGCCUGAGGCAAACGCACAUAAGGGUCCCCAGAUGCAGCGAAUGAACAGGUUUUCCUCGUAAAAAUGAUGGAGGUGAAGGUGGGGAUGGGGGUGCUCUCCUCACUCCGGAAUCUGAAGCGGGAGAGAGCUGGAUAAACCGCCGAGAUGACCUAAGUGGUCUGAGGCGACCAGCAGCGCGUCCACAGUGGAGGACCCAGGCCUCGGCUCAGACAUGGCCUGCUCCGCUCUUUCCCUAGGCUCCUCUGCAACAUCAGGCAACCAAGGCCUGCGCUCUCCUUUUCCUGAGGAGACUCCCUGGAACCUUCAAGAACCCCCCGACAGCCACCAGGAUACCCGGUCUGAAUGGUUUCCUACCAAGAAAGACCCCGAAGACCUGCAGUUCUGUCCAGAAACGAGUUUUUAGGGUCACUUGAAUUUGAGCUGCUGCGAGGGCGGUGCUUUAGGGAGCAGAGUUCAAAGAGGAAUUCCUCAGGACCCUAGGCCAGGUCCGCGUUAAAGGGCGCCUUACAAACCUCCUCUCCCCACACUCCCCCGCAGCCCCUUCCCCAACGUUUAAGGCACCGGAUCUUGAGAAGCAAAUCUAGUGCCCAGCUUCAAAUCCCCGCCUUGGAAAAGUACAAAGAGAAAACUGAUUUUUCAAAUCCCAAAGCCCUUUCCUUUUAAGCAACUUGGAAAAACUCAGCUAUAAACGCUUUCUCCUCUUAUGCUAAAAUUGAAAACUUAUAGAUUUUAGAUGGAAUGAAGAGAAGAUAUAUUCCUUUUCCCUUUAAAUAGCCACAUUUCAAAUUGUGCCAGGCAGCAAUUUCUGCGAAAAAGGAGUGGCGGUUGGGAUUGUUUGGGAGAUGGAGUUUUAUUUGUUCCCAUUUAUUUUGUUUUAUUUUUGUUUUAUUUUUUUCUUUGAGUUUCUUUGUUAUUUUGAGAUUCAUCUAAGAGACUCAGAAUUCCACUCUGAAUAAAGCACUUUUUGUUGUUUCAAAAUUUCAAACUGACAUAAGUGUUGGAUCAUCAGUUUUCCCUUUGUCUGCCCUAGUUGUAAAUAAUGGCUUUGAGAUUAGCUAAUUAAGGGGCAUUAAUCACUGAUAGAAAGGGAAUAAAUCAAAGCCUUGUUCUAAAUUUCAAACUUGCCUGUAUAGAUGUGCAUAGCUACUCUAUCUGGAGCAGAUAGGUGCUGUUUGAAUUACUGUUCUUCAGAGUAAACCAAAUCCACUUCGCUUUUAAAAAAUGAAUAUUGUAUUUAUACAGCCUGG